rfam:Ricinus communis cultivar Hale ctg_1100012288414, whole genome shotgun sequence.
GGGUGGGAUCAUACCAGCACUAAUGCACCGGAUCCCAUCAGAACUCCGAAGUUAAACGUGCUUUGGCGUUAUUAGUACUAAGAUGGGUGACCUCUUGGGAAGUCCUCGUGUUGCACCCC